UUUAUAUUGAGUUUGAUGAUGGCUCUGAUUGAACGCUAUCCAAGUGCUUGACACAUGCUAAUCGAACGUCUAAUUUAUUAGAAAUAAUUUAGUUAGAAGUGGUGUACAGGUGAGUAAAAGAUAUUAUGGCUACCUUGGAGUAAGGGACAUUAAAAUCCCUUAUAUCAUACAAAAAAUUUUGUAUUAAAAGAAAAUUAUUUUCGCUCCUAGAUGGAAAUUAAUAUCUCGGGCAGGUAGUAGUUAAGGUAAUGGCUUAACUAGCUUAUGUCCGUAGUCGAGACUGAGAGGUCGAUCGACCACAUUGGGUCUGAAAAAACCCCAAUACGUAUAGUACAGCAGUGAGGAAUAUUGGUCAAUGGCCUAACGGCUGAACCAGCAACUUGGGGGAAUGGAUAUAUAUAUUAGAGAUAAUAUAUAGUACCGACUAUGUCGGAUAAAGUUCUAGAUAGAAAAAUGAUAAUGACAAUUUUCUAUCUAUAUGUCUUGACCAAAUCUUGUGCCAGCAGUCGCGGCAACACAAGGGAGACUAGUGUUAUUCAUCUUUAUUAGGUUUAAAGGGUACCUAGACGGUAUAUCAAGCCCCAAAAGGGAACGGAUAUACUAGAGUUUUAUGUGAGAGGCAAAUAUAGUACUAUUGGUGUAGAGAUAAAAUUCAUUGAUACCUCUAGGCACGGGUAACGGCGAAGGCGAUCCUCUAUGUAAAAACUGACGUUGAGGGACGAAGGCUUGGGGAGCGAAUAGGAUUAGAUACCCUAGUAGUCCAGGCAGACAAUUAUGAAUGUCAUAGAUUAGAAAGAAAGCAUGAAACUCUUGAAUCUAUAAGGUUCCAGGUUACCUAUAUAGGUUCACUAUGAUUUUUUGAUCUAUAAAUGAAAGUGUAAGCAUUCCACCUCAAGAGUAAUGUGGCAACGCAGGAACUGAAAUCAUUAGACCGUUUCUGAAACCAGUAGUGAAGUAUGUGUGCGACAAGAAGCGGAUAUUAGUAAUGUGGUGCGAUUCCACUAGGUAUUCUCUACCUAACACUACCUAC
rnacentral:ncRNA from 1 species